GCUCAUUUUGUCAUUUGGCCCCACUGGUGCAGGGAGGCUGUGCUCUCCUGUGUUCCUGGCCUCUGGCCAGAGGCGUCAUGUAGAUUCAUUCAUCAUGCCUCUUUGCUGGAUUCUGUGAUGGCAUGGCUGAUGGUGUCCAGAUGGUCAGGGACAACCUGAUUCUCAUGUUGUGUCUGAGUUCAUGGCAGUGAUGUUACUGCCUUACAAAGAGAAAGUCAACAUACAAGUGACCCGGUUGCUUUAAAGGGUGGAGCCCCAGCAUCUCUACCCUUCAGAAUGUUUGCAAUGGCCUUUAGCUCUUUGUGCUGUUCAAGGAAGGUCUUCUAGCACGGCUGUUGGCUAGGAAGUCUGCACCCUCAUGUGUCAACCAGGCUAAGUACAAGUGUCCAUUGGGACCCCUUUGUUGCAGGGCUGAAAGAGCCUUUUUUCAUGGAUAUACAACCUGUCGGAAAAGGAACUUAUUAUCAUGGAAGCCCUCAGAUUGAGUUGCCCAGGAUGGAAGACCAUUGUCAACAGGGAACCCGUCACACAUUCUGUGAAUCCCAGCCUGGUGAGACAAGGAGCAUGAGCCCUGGGGGCCAUUGUGCAUGCAGCUCCAUCUGUAAGAUGGAACACCCGUGGAGGCCAGGUUGA
rnacentral:lncRNA from 1 species